UCUCCCGGCCCCUGGCCAGGGCAACGGUGCCAGGGGACUGGCGAAGGCGCGCGGUGGGCGCUGCACUGCCCCCCUCAGGGCGGGCGACGCGCUCCUUCGCGGGCCCAGCGCGUUCACUUCCUGGGCCCGGCUGGCACUGCCCUGCGCCGCCGCCCGUCAGUCCCGGUACCCCGCCAGGAAAUGUCUUCUUCCUGGGAAGACGGCCGCUGUCUGCGGCAGUGGGUGGCAGAGUCUGAAACCAAGUCGCACAAGCCCUGGGAGACAGAAAGCCUUGUGUUUGUCUUGGGGACUGUUCCGUCAGAAUGAGCAGCUUAAAAAAUGUCGCCUGUGAGGUCUCAGCUCGUACAACAAGAAGAUAGCAAUCUGCAAACCAGAAAGUGGGCCCUCACAAGAACUAGAUGAUGAUGGUGUCCUGGCUUCAAACUCCCAGCUUCCAGAACUGUGAGAAAUAAAUUUCUGUUGUUUAUAAGUUA